GAUACUGCAGCCUAAGUCCCCUAAAGGCUCUUCCAGAUGGCGUAUGUUUGCCUAUUCAUGAUUUCUGUCUCCACAGAGCAGGUUGAGCUGGUGACAUCAAAGGCCACUGGCACCGGAAGUGGCCAGCAGCAGUGAAGAACUUGGAAGCCCUUUUGUUCUGCAGUGCGUGUGAAUACCAGGCCCCUUGUUGUCCUCUGGGACCACAAGCUGGGAAAUAAAGUACCUAGUGGGGCUCUGCUGGCUCCCAGCUCUGAUGGAAGCAAACCUCACAAGAAAGACACCUUCAGAGGCUGUGGCAGGUUUCUCUCAGGAGAUGAGAAUCACACUGAGGAAAAGUAACCCAGACUCUUGGGAACCCCUGAGCAGUCCGGAAUUGAUCUGUAAGCUCCACGUGUUCCAGCGUCAUAAGAAUAGGAAAAUGAGUGAGACACAAGGUGAAGAGACAACAGCCAAGGAGGAGAAAGCGAUGUGCUUUCAGUCUGCCUGAAUGGUAGUGAGCCUCGCUUGAAUGGCAGGAGCUGGUCAGGAUGGGAGGUGACGUUUUUGAGGCUACGGCAGAAUGGCUGUUCGUCCUUCUAAUUCAAGACAUCUCUGAAACACCUUCCCAUUCAGUCUACAUAUUUCCAGGCCCAGCUCCUUGGAUCUCAUGUCUUCCCUGAAUGUGUUCUGUUGUCCACUUGCAACCCGCAUAACUGAUGGAAUCACGUCCUACAGAGCACUGCGUGGGAUCUAAAGGUCUCUUUAAGGUUGGGACGAUGCUGCAGGAAUCAAUAAAAGCUGCACUCACCUGACUAGACCGUGUGCAGCCCU